AUGGACACACUGCAAGCAAUGAUCCAUUGGGCGGUCCAAAAUAAUCUGCUAUCUGAUCUGGGCCUACCUCCCAACUGCCCAAGGGCUUCCUUCUUUGCAGAUGAUGCCAUUAUCUUCUUCAGACCUUACCCGAGGGAUUUGGACGUAAUCUCAGCCAUUCUAACGCUGUUUGCCAAGGCUACGGGCCUUCGCAUCAAUAUGCAAAAAACCACUGUUACUUGCAUCACAUGUGACGACGCUGUCUCUGCUAGUGUGGCGCAACACUUUUCGUGUCAGCUGGAAACCUUCCCUUUGCAGUACCUAGGAUUACCGCUUUCUAUUUUCAGGCUGAGACGUCAGGACAUUUUGCCACUCAUCGACAAGUUUUCCAACAAAAUGAAGGGGUGGAAACCCAAGCUUAUGGCCCCUGCAGGACGUUUAACACUCACGCAAUCAGUUCUGAUGGCCCUGCCAAUCCACUUCUUGUCGGUUCUGCUGCUGCCGGCGUGGGCACUUAAGACAAUCAACAGGAGAUGUCGGAGUUUUAUUUGGAAAGGAGGCAUUGAUAUUAGUGGUGGGAACUGCCUGUUACCUUGGGCUAGGGUAUGCAUGCCUAAGGAAUGCGGA
rnacentral:rRNA from 1 species